rnacentral:rRNA from 1 species
UUAAGCGACUAAGCGUACACGGUGGAUGCCCUGGCAGUCAGAGGCGAUGAAGGACGUGCUAAUCUGCGAUAAGCGUCGGUAAGGUGAUAUGAACCGUUAUAACCGGCGAUUUCCGAAUGGGGAAACCCAGUGUGUUUCGACACACUAUCAUUAACUGAAUCCAUAGGUUAAUGAGGCGAACCGGGGGAACUGAAACAUCUAAGUACCCCGAGGAAAAGAAAUCAACCGAGAUUCCCCCAGUAGCGGCGAGCGAACGGGGAGCAGCCCAGAGCCUGAAUCAGUGUGUGUGUUAGUGGAAGCGUCUGGAAAGGCGCGCGAUACAGGGUGACAGCCCCGUACACAAAAAUGCACAUGCUGUGAGCUCGAUGAGUAGGGCGGGACACGUGGUAUCCUGUCUGAAUAUGGGGGGACCAUCCUCCAAGGCUAAAUACUCCUGACUGACCGAUAGUGAACCAGUACCGUGAGGGAAAGGCGAAAAGAACCCCGGCGAGGGGAGUGAAAAAGAACCUGAAACCGUGUACGUACAAGCAGUGGGAGCACGCUUAGGCGUGUGACUGCGUACCUUUUGUAUAAUGGGUCAGCGACUUAUAUUCUGUAGCAAGGUUAACCGAAUAGGGGAGCCGAAGGGAAACCGAGUCUUAACUGGGCGUUAAGUUGCAGGGUAUAGACCCGAAACCCGGUGAUCUAGCCAUGGGCAGGUUGAAGGUUGGGUAACACUAACUGGAGGACCGAACCGACUAAUGUUGAAAAAUUAGCGGAUGACUUGUGGCUGGGGGUGAAAGGCCAAUCAAACCGGGAGAUAGCUGGUUCUCCCCGAAAGCUAUUUAGGUAGCGCCUCGUGAAUUCAUCUCCGGGGGUAGAGCACUGUUUCGGCAAGGGGGUCAUCCCGACUUACCAACCCGAUGCAAACUGCGAAUACCGGAGAAUGUUAUCACGGGAGACACACGGCGGGUGCUAACGUCCGUCGUGAAGAGGGAAACAACCCAGACCGCCAGCUAAGGUCCCAAAGUCAUGGUUAAGUGGGAAACGAUGUGGGAAGGCCCAGACAGCCAGGAUGUUGGCUUAGAAGCAGCCAUCAUUUAAAGAAAGCGUAAUAGCUCACUGGUCGAGUCGGCCUGCGCGGAAGAUGUAACGGGGCUAAACCAUGCACCGAAGCUGCGGCAGCGACGCUGAUGCGUUGUUGGGUAGGGGAGCGUUCUGUAAGCCUGCGAAGGUGUGCUGUGAGGCAUGCUGGAGGUAUCAGAAGUGCGAAUGCUGACAUAAGUAACGAUAAAGCGGGUGAAAAGCCCGCUCGCCGGAAGACCAAGGGUUCCUGUCCAACGUUAAUCGGGGCAGGGUGAGUCGACCCCUAAGGCGAGGCCGAAAGGCGUAGUCGAUGGGAAACAGGUUAAUAUUCCUGUACUUGGUGUUACUGCGAAGGGGGGACGGAGAAGGCUAUGUUGGCCGGGCGACGGUUGUCCCGGUUUAAGCGUGUAGGCUGGUUUUCCAGGCAAAUCCGGAAAAUCAAGGCUGAGGCGUGAUGACGAGGUACUACGGUGCUGAAGCAACAAAUGCCCUGCUUCCAGGAAAAGCCUCUAAGCAUCAGGUAACAUCAAAUCGUACCCCAAACCGACACAGGUGGUCAGGUAGAGAAUACCAAGGCGCUUGAGAGAACUCGGGUGAAGGAACUAGGCAAAAUGGUGCCGUAACUUCGGGAGAAGGCACGCUGAUAUGUAGGUGAAGUCCCUUGCGGAUGGAGCUGAAAUCAGUCGAAGAUACCAGCUGGCUGCAACUGUUUAUUAAAAACACAGCACUGUGCAAACACGAAAGUGGACGUAUACGGUGUGACGCCUGCCCGGUGCCGGAAGGUUAAUUGAUGGGGUCAGCGCAAGCGAAGCUCUUGAUCGAAGCCCCGGUAAACGGCGGCCGUAACUAUAACGGUCCUAAGGUAGCGAAAUUCCUUGUCGGGUAAGUUCCGACCUGCACGAAUGGCGUAAUGAUGGCCAGGCUGUCUCCACCCGAGACUCAGUGAAAUUGAACUCGCUGUGAAGAUGCAGUGUACCCGCGGCAAGACGGAAAGACCCCGUGAACCUUUACUAUAGCUUGACACUGAACAUUGAGCCUUGAUGUGUAGGAUAGGUGGGAGGCUUGGAAGUGUGGACGCCAGUCUGCAUGGAGCCGACCUUGAAAUACCACCCUUUAAUGUUUGAUGUUCUAACGUUGACCCGUAAUCCGGGUUGCGGACAGUGUCUGGUGGGUAGUUUGACUGGGGCGGUCUCCUCCUAAAGAGUAACGGAGGAGCACGAAGGUUGGCUAAUCCUGGUCGGACAUCAGGAGGUUAGUGCAAUGGCAUAAGCCAGCUUGACUGCGAGCGUGACGGCGCGAGCAGGUGCGAAAGCAGGUCAUAGUGAUCCGGUGGUUCUGAAUGGAAGGGCCAUCGCUCAACGGAUAAAAGGUACUCCGGGGAUAACAGGCUGAUACCGCCCAAGAGUUCAUAUCGACGGCGGUGUUUGGCACCUCGAUGUCGGCUCAUCACAUCCUGGGGCUGAAGUAGGUCCCAAGGGUAUGGCUGUUCGCCAUUUAAAGUGGUACGCGAGCUGGGUUUAGAACGUCGUGAGACAGUUCGGUCCCUAUCUGCCGUGGGCGCUGGAGAACUGAGGGGGGCUGCUCCUAGUACGAGAGGACCGGAGUGGACGCAUCACUGGUGUUCGGGUUGUCAUGCCAAUGGCACUGCCCGGUAGCUAAAUGCGGAAGAGAUAAGUGCUGAAAGCAUCUAAGCACGAAACUUGCCCCGAGAUGAGUUCUCCCUGACUCCUUGAGAGUCCUGAAGGAACGUUGAAGACGACGACGUUGAUAGGCCGGGUGUGUAAGCGCAGCGAUGCGUUGAGCUAACCGGUACUAAUGAACCGUGAGGCUUAACCUU